ACAGGCUCGUCCACUUGGUGCCCUUCUAUUAACCAAUCACAGUCAUUCUUUGCAUCUGUUUGGAAAGCGUCAGUGCACGCAGUGCAACUCAAUGGAAACAAAGUUGAUAUACGGCUAAAUGCAUGUACGUUUCUCUGCAGAAGAUUGUUUAUAAAAUUAAUAACAGUAAGGAUUUACCCCAGACUGAGGUUUGAAGACGGACAACUGACAGAAACGUGACUGCACAGAAGCUAACAGUGACAGCUACAGCUAGCUGCAAGGCUAAACUAAUGCAGUGACAGCAUGACUGCUGCUGAGGCGACUGGCAGACCGGCAGGCCGAAGCUCUGCACCCGAGAAAUCCAGGUUCCGCCAUGCAGAUACUCAGGACUGUGCACAACACAAUGAGACACGCGUUCUGAAAAGGGAAACCCCCUGUGGGUGGCUCUCAGCACAAUAACAGAAUGGAGGCUUAUCAAUCUGCCACGAUGAUGUUCCAAGGCUGCUUCUCCAGCAGCAGCUGCACCACUGAUCACUCUGAUGAGCAGGAAGCUUCAGGGCUCACACUGCUGCUCUUUUGAUCUCCGGAUGACCUGCUCAGCACAAGGCAUCCAAAUCCUCCUCAUCUCAUGUCAGAUUUAGAAAAAGACAGACUGGAGAGGAGAAAUCAAGGCAUCUGAAGAAACAUCAGGCACACAUGGGGAGAGCAUGAAGACUCCAAACACAAUGACCAUCUAUUCUCCCUGCUGUAAG